rnacentral:rRNA from 1 species
UACGAAGGGGGCUAGCGUUGCUCGGAAUCACUGGGCGUAAAGCGCACGUAGGCGGCUUUCUAAGUCAGGGGUGAAAUCCUGGAGCUCAACUCCAGAACUGCCUUUGAUACUGGAGAGCUUGAGUCCGGGAGAGGUGAGUGGAACUCCGAGUGUAGAGGUGAAAUUCGUAGAUAUUCGCAAGAACACCAGUGGCGAAGGCGGCUCACUGGCCCGAUACUGACGCUGAGGCACGAAAGCCAGGGGAGCAAACGGG